GAUGAAGAACGUAGCGAAAUGCGAUAAGUAAUGCGAAUUGCAGAAUUCAGUGAAUCAUCGUAUCUUUGAACGCACAUUGCGCCCGCUAGUAUUCUGGCGGGCAUGCCUGUCUGAGCGUCAUUUCAACCCUCGCCCCCGGCUUUUGCUGGGAGCGGUGUUGGGGAUCGGCCGCCCGUCACUGGGAGGCCGGCCCCGAAAUAGAGUGGCGACCACGCCGUGUGCUCCUCUGCGUAGUAGUAAAUCACCUCGCAGGCGGACAGCGGUGCGGCCUGCCGUAAAACCCCCAACUCUUUCUGGCUGACCUCAGAUCAGGUAGGAAUACCCGCUGAACUUAAGCAUAUCAAUAAGCGGAGGA
rnacentral:misc_RNA from 1 species